GGAGUCUGGGCCGUAUCUCAGUCCCAAUGUGGCCGUUCAACCUCUCAGUUCGGCUACUGAUCGUCGCCUUGGUAGGCCUUUACCCCACCAACUAGCUAAUCAGACGCAAGGCCAUCUAUCAGCGGAUUGCUCCUUUUCUAGCUGUAUCAUGCGAUACUACUAGCUUAUGCGGUAUUAGCAAUGAUUUCUCACUGUUAUUCCCCUCUGAUAGGCAGGUUCCUUACGUGUUACUCACCAGUCCGCCACUAAAGCCAUUGUUAAAAACUUCAAUCAGAUAAAUCGUCAAUUCAUUUCUAACGACUUCCGUUCGACUUGCAUGUCUUAUGUGCGCCGCCAGCGUUUAUC
rnacentral:rRNA from 1 species